rnacentral:rRNA from 1 species
CAGUCGCCGCGGGAAUACGUAGGUGGCAAGCGUUGUCCGGAAUUAUUGGGCGUAAAGGGCUCGCAGGCGGUUUCUUAAGUCUGAUGUGAAAGCCCCCGGCUCAACCGGGGAGGGUCAUUGGAAACUGGGAAACUUGAGUGCAGAAGAGGAGAGUGGAAUUCCACGUGCAGCGGUGAAAUGCGUAGAGAUGUGGAGGAACACCAGUGGCGAAGGCGACUCUUUGGUCUGUAACUGACGCUGAGGAGCGAAAGCGUGGGGAGCGAACAGGAUUAGAUACCCCAGUAGUCCCUGUCUCUUAUAA